AUCAGUCAGUAAGAUUACUGUUUCUAUAGAACAAACUUUUACACAAAAUACAUUUAGUAUUAUACGGUUCAAUAUACCAGUAAUACUAGAGUGUACUGGUGAAGCCCCCAAUAGUGUUGCAGUUGCUGUACAUUGUAAUGACACUAGUAGUAUAGAGCUAUAUAGUAGCUCUUUUAUCAUUGAAUAUACUAAACAACCAAUGAAUAUAACAGGAUCAGUAUCAGUACUACUAAACCAGCAAUGUAAUAUCAGUAUUGUAUUUAGUAAUAGUGUUGGUAGUAGUGAA